rnacentral:rRNA from 1 species
UACGAAGGGGGGCUAGCGUUGCUCGGAAUGACUGGGCGUAAAGGGCGCGUAGGCGGCUUGCACAGUCAGGCGUGAAAUUCCUGGGCUCAACCUGGGGACUGCGCUUGAGACGUGUGGGCUUGAGUGGGGAAGAGGGUCGUGGAAUUCCCAGUGUAGAGGUGAAAUUCGUAGAUAUUGGGAAGAACACCGGUGGCGAAGGCGGUCUGCUGGGCAGUUGCUGACACUGAGGCGCGACAGCGUGGGGAGCAAACAGG